CCUGAGGGUCAGACGGCCAGCUCCCUCUGAAUUCCCCCAGGGUAGAAAUGCAGCAAGGGUAGGAGGUUGAGCGGUUAGGUUUGCACCCUCUUUUUA
rnacentral:SRP_RNA from 1 species